AUGCAGAACAUUACCUUUCUGUUGGUGAUGCAGGUAAACUUGAUGUUCAGGAAUAAAUGAAGGUAUGGUUGGAAUAAGGUAGGUGUUUCUCCACAAAUGAUGGAAAACUAAGCCAAAUAUAAAUAUUUUUGUGAAAUUAAGUCGAUCAAUUAAACUUUAAACACUGAAAUUUAAACAAAAUAUGCUGGUGGAAAAUUUCGAGGUGUCCUCUUCAAAAAUGAAUCUGGAAAUAAUAUUCUACUAUACAAGGAGGGGCCGAAGGUAGCAAGGGCCAUAUGUAGGAAAGUUUUAAAAGAGGGCAAUGAGAAAUGAGGGACAAUAGAAUUUGUACAUCUGAAUAUUUAUUCUAAAAUUUAUCAACUUGAUGCCUUUUAUAUCACAAAAUCGGGUAUAUUUUACAAAGUAUUGAAAGAUCGCACCCCUAAAAGCGUACUUGGACUUGACAGAAAAAAUAUUUGAUAACAAAAAUAUUUAUUUUUUCAAUUCUGGCAGUAGUAAAAGUUUACUACAUCAAAUGAAUAAAUAAAAUAAUAUAUAAACAAUAAAAAUAAAUACAAAUAACACAUUGUAUUAAAGGCGCAAAACUGUCCAUCAAUUCAAGUUUUCGCGGUAUUUACACUUAUCCGGAAAAUUGGAUCUGUCCGCAAAUGUUCAAGGUGUUCUCAUACAACGUCUUUCAAGCGUUUGAAAAUGGCCCUGAAAUGAUACACAAUAAAACUCGAUUAAUAAUAUUAAAAAGUCCAGCGUGUUCCCGGAGACAGAAUUACUGGAUUGUAACCAUUCUGAAACGAGAAAUGUCUCUUUUAACAGAUAAUUGCUAUCCAAACACGUAAAUAUCUUGAUAUUAAUGAAAACGAGUGGUGUUAACGUGGAAAAUCGUAAAAACAUCCCUUUUUUCAUCAGAUUUACACCAGUUUGUACCUUUUGUCAGUAUAGCUUAAACUUUGGAUAGCAUUUUUCAGAAAAUAUACAUUCAGACGAUUUCAUUGAUGCUUUAUUUUUUGUUGAAAGGUUCCAGCAACACGCUGGACUUUUGAGUUUAAAAUGAAAUAAACACCUUCAGUAGCUGCUCGGGUCACGUGACUACUUUCACUUUUGAAGUAAACAAACCGUGAAAAAUUAAAUUUAGAUUUUAAUGAUUAACACUAUUACUGCUGAUAAGAAAUCUUUUUCUGGCAAUAGUAAGUUAAAAUUGUUUAAAAAUAAUAUGCUUUUUAACGUAUUUUUCUCGUAAAGUGCCUUAACAUCACUGCGAUAUCGUCAGCGUCCGAAAUUUUCCAAGAAGUAAUACGCAACGUUAUAAGUGGUAUACCUGGAGUUAAAAACAUUUCAGACGACAUAAUCAUAUAUGGCAGAUCACAAGCAGAACAUGAUAAAGCGUUAGAUGCCACAUUCAAGAGAUUACUUGAAAACGGACUAACUUUAAAUCUUGAAAAGUGUGAGUUCAAUAAAGAUCAAGUAGUGUUCUUUGGAGUCACAUUUUCGAAAGAAGGCAUUUCGCCAGAUCCAAAGAAGGUUAGCGCAAUCAAAGACAUGUCUCCACCGAAAAAUGUACCAGAACUACGUAGCUUUCUAGGUAUGACUACAUACUCAUCUAGAUUCAUACAGAAUUAUGCAACAUUAUGUGAGCCGUUAAGAAGACUAACACGCCAAGAUACAAACUGGAACUGGGACUCUGAACAAGAAGCAGCUUUCGAAAAAUUGAAAUGUGAACUAUCUAGUGACACUGUCAUAACAUAUUAUAAUCCAAAACAUGAGAUUGAUAUUUUAGUAGAUGCCAGUCCUGUUGGGCUUGGGGCAAUAAUGUCACAAGAAGGAAAAACUGUAGCUUAUGCAAGCAGGAGUCUUACUGACACGGAAACAAGGUACAGCCAAACUGAACGAGAAGCUCUCGCUAUUGUUUGGGCAUGUGAACACUUUGAUAUGUACAUAAGAGGUGCACCAAACGUGAACAUUAUAACAGAUCACAAGCCACUAGAGCGUAUUUGGCAGAAACCAAAGCCACCACUGAGAAUUGAACGUUGGGGUUUGAGAUUACAACCUUACAAACUUAAGAUAACAUAUCAACCAGGAAGUGAAAAUCCUGCAGAUUUUAUGUCAAGACAUCCAUCAGACAACCCUGUCAAAUCCCGGGAACAAUCUAUAGCAGAACAGUAUGUGAGAUUUGUUAUGUCUGAAGCAGUCCCUCGUGCAAUGACACUUGAUGAAGUUAAAAUGGCUUCUUCAAAGGAUAAAACUAUUCAAAAGGCAAUAGAAUUCGUAAGAACUGGACAAUGGUUUAAAAUCAAAAAACAUAACAGAUCUGGAAAUUGACAUUGAGGAAUUACAAGCAUUAAGGAGCAUCAGUGGUGAACUUGUAACCUAUGGUGACACUAUUUUACUCAGAGACAAUCGUAUUGUACUCCCAUCUGAACUCCGUGUGCGAGCUGUUAACAUUGCGCAUGAAGGUCAUCAGGGUAUCACCAAAACUAAAGCAUUCUUACGUUCCAAGAUAUGGUUUCCAGGACUUAACGACAGAGUUGAUAAUGCAAUUAAAGACUGUUCAGCAUGUCAAUCUGUUACACACACCAAAAGAAUUGAACCGUUAAGAAUGUCUGAAUUGCCAGAAAAGCCAUGGACAAAUUUGAGUGCUGAUUUUUGUGGUCCAUUACCUAGCGGAGACCUCUUAUUCGUUAUUACAGAUGAAUAUUCACGUUAUCCAGUAGUUGAAGUAAUAAAAUCCGACUCUGCUUCAACUGUUAUUCCUGUUUUGGACAAAGUUAUAUCUACUUUCGGAAUUCCUAAAGUAAUCAAAACAGAUAAUGGUCCUCCGUUUAACUCUCAUGCAUUCAGACAAUAUGCUGAGAAUACUGGAUUUGAACAUCGCCGUGUAACACCAUUAUGGCCGCGUGCCAAUGCCCAGGCCGAAUCAUUUAAUAAACCAAUGAUGAUGAAGACAAUUAAAGCAGCUCAUGUGGAAAGAAAAAAGCUGGAAACAAGAACUAUUUAA
rnacentral:sRNA from 1 species